ensembl:lincRNA
CGGCCGCGCCGGCACGGUGUCUGAAGCUGCCGCGCUGGUCGCCCGGCCUCCGAAGCGCCCUCCUCGCCUCGCCACACUCCAGCCCGGUCCUGGCACGGUGACGGUCUGGGCUGGGGAACGGCUCUGAGGGCCCGAGGCACGUUUCCUGUAUCUCGGCGCGGCACAGGCACCAGCUCCGCUGCGCGCCCCUCGGCUGGGCUCCUCGUUUGGCUUGAAAUGGGACGCGACUGCAGUGCCCACCGGCUGCCCGACACUUCCCCUGUGGGCCACUUUCUCCUCCCUCUCCCACUGCCCGCGGGAGGCCUCGGGCACAAAACGCAGCUAUUUACUAUUACUCUUAACUUUUGCUUUUGAGACAGGGUCUCGCGAUGUAGCCCAGGCUGGCCUCAAAGGAGAAUGACCCUCCUGCCUCAGCUUCCCAAGUGCUGGGAUUACAGGCGUGUGCCACCGCACCUACUGUUCUUAGACAGUAAGAGGACCUGGUUGAUGCUUCUGGGCUAAGAUCCAGGUAAAGCAGCCAUGAAAGGGAUAUGAGAAAACGGGGGGAUAGAGAGAGUCCGGAGGGCUUGGGUGACGGGCAGUCGUGAGUCCUCUGGGGCAGCUGGGCCAGGUCCACGCUGGGGCAGGGCUUUUUUUCCAAUACAACUUUUUUUUUUUUGUCUUUUUGAGACAGGGUCCUGCUAUGCAGUUCAGGCUGGCCUUGAGCUCACUUUGUAGCCCAGGCUGGUCUCGAACUUGCAAGGAUCCUCCUGCCUCAGCCUCCUAUUACAGACGUGCACCAUCACACCCAGCAAGGAAUCGUUUGCAAAUGCAGAUUCUUAUCCACUGGGUCUGACCGGGCCCGAUUGUGCUGCUGUGACCCUGUGCUGCUGUCUAAGGGCAGGGCUGAUGCUGCCCUCAGAACCACAGGCUGUGCAGGCGCUUGCCAGGUGGAGCUGCUGGCGACCCGCCCGCCUCUCCCCUGUGUCCACGACUGCCAGCUUCCAGGAGACUGAGACUGACUUGGUAUGGGCGUCACACCCAAAGAAAGCUACGGCCGGACAGAAGGUGGCUGCAAACACACACUUCAAGGCAGUUUCGGUGCAAGCAGUUGCUACAGGCCCUAGAGGCAGGGCCUCUGGCUGCCCUCCCCGCUUUGGCUUGGGCUACUGCGAGCCUGGGCUCCUCCCGGUCUCCGGGAGCCGGGUCUCCUCGCCAGGCCCUCCUGGGCCACAAGGCUGGUUUUGUUUGUAUGUAUGUUUGUCGUUGUUUGGCUUUUAUUUUUUGGAUGUGAUUAAAAAACCUUAAUAAGACCUACCAUUUCCAUGUGCCUGGUAUCCGUUUAACUGUUGAAUUAUUAACUCACGAAAUCCUCACAAAAGACAAAAAGUACCCUGGGUCAGCUUUGCUGUUUCCCUCCACUUUCUUUUCUUUUUUUUGACAGGGUCUCAAAGCCCGACUCCCCGUCCUCCCAAGCGGUGGGACUGCAGGCUUCCCCAUAACCCAGGCUCUCCUGGACUUUUUCACCUUGUAUUCGCAAUACAGCACAGGCAGAGGAGCACGGGACACACAUGCGAACUGCCUGUGGAACCGGCUCCCGGAGUAAGAAACAUCAGCCCCAAAGGGCAGAGCGCUUUCCUCCUCCUGUAGGGCAGACACCAUCAUUACAGCAGCUGCUAGCUACCGGGGUAGGUACUUGUAGGUGGACUCUUUCGUUUACACUAGUUUGCACAACAAUACAAAAGUUAUGUUUCUUUUCAUUCUCCCUUUAUCGGGGACCCGGCCGAGACCCCCAACUGCCUGUAGGAGGGGCCCGGGAAAAGGAUGAAAUAAGAAACAGGCAAAUUUAUAAUGCAUGAAGCGAGGCUGGAAGGUCCGUGCCUCAGGAUGGGCAGAGACCGAGCUCCGAGCCAGCUGCAGCCCAUGGGGUGGGACCAUGACCAUGACGGGAGGGGCUGGUGGGAGACUCGGGUGAGGACUCAUGCUGAGAAGGACCUUGCCCUGGGCAGUUUUUA